AUUGAACGCUGGCGGCAUGCCUUACACAUGCAAGUCGAACGGUAACAGGUUAAGCUGACGAGUGGCGAACGGGUGAGUCAUGUAUCGGAACGUGCCCAGUCGUGUGGGAUAACUGCUCGAAAGAGCAGCUAAUACCGCAUACGACCUGAGGGUGAAAGCGGGGGAUCGCAAGACCUCGCACGAUUGGAUCGGACGAUAUCAGAUGAGGUAGUUGGUGAGGUAAAGGCUCACCAAGCGGACGAUCUGUAGCUGGUCUGAGAGGACGACCAGCCACACUGGGACUGAGACACGGCCCAAACUCCUACGGGAGGCAGCAGUGGGGAAUUUUGGACAAUGGGGGCAAGCCUGAUCCAGCCAUGCCGCGUGCGGGAAGAAGGCCUUCGGGUUGUAAACCGCUUUUGUCAGGGAAGAAAAGGUUCUGGCUAAUACCUGGGACUCAUGACGGUACCUGAAGAAUAAGCACCGGCUAACUACGUG
rnacentral:rRNA from 1 species